rnacentral:rRNA from 1 species
GUCAAGUCAUCAUGGCCUUUAUGGCCAGGGCUACACACGUGCUACAAUGGUAGGUACAGAGGGAAGCCAACGCGCGAGCGGGAGCCAAUCCCCUAAAGCCUAUCGUAGUCCGGAUCGGAGUCUGCAACUCGACUCCGUGAAGUCGGAAUCGCUAGUAAUCGCGAAUCAGCACUGUCGCGGUGAAUACGUUCCCGGGUCUU